rnacentral:snRNA from 1 species
GUCCUUUCAGGGACAUCUAAUAAAAUUGGAACGAUACAGAGAAGAUUAGCAUGGCCCUUGUGCGAUGCACAAAUCGAGAAAUGGUACAAAUUUUU